AAGUCGUAACAAGGUUUCCGUAGGUGAACCUGCGGAAGGAUCAUUAACACGUAAUAACUACGUUUUCAACCAACUGUGCAUUUCAUGAAGAAUUCAAGAAGAACAAAGAUCUAUUCUUUGAAUUUCAAAAAUUCUCAUGUUUUUUUCACAUUUUUCACCAAUUUUCUUUUGUUUUAGUUGUCUAUUUAAGAAUUUUUCUUAAAAUAGUUUUGAAUUUUAUUUUCAAUAGUCAAUACAACUCUUAGCAAUGGAUAUCUUGGUUCUC
rnacentral:misc_RNA from 1 species